GAGGGUGGAACCCUCAUGAAUGGGAUUAGUGCCCUUAUAAAACACUCCAGGCCAGGCACUGUGGCUCACGCCUGUAAUCCCAGCACUUUGGGAGGCUGAGGUGGGUGGACCAUCUGAGGUCAGGAGUUCCAGACCAGGCUGGUCAAUGUGUCGAAACCCUGUCUCUACUGAACAUAGAAAAAUUAGCCAGGCAUGGUGGCACAGGCCUGUAAUCCCAGCUACUCGAGAGGCUGAGGCAUGAGAAUGGCUUGAGCUGGGAGGCAGAUGUUGCAGUGAGCUGAGAUUGCACCACUGCACUCCAGCCUGGGUGACAGAGCAAGACUCUGUCUCAAAACAAAACGAAACAAAACAAAAAACCAGAGAGAAGCUCCAGAGAGGAGAGAUCCCUCUCCUUUUUUGCCCCAUGCGAUAACAGAGAAAAGACAGCUAUUUAUGAGGAAGUGGGCCCUCACAAACACUGAAUCUGCUGGUGCCUUGAUCAUGCACCUUCUAGCUUCCACAACUGUGAGAAAAUACAUUGCUGAUGUUUAUAUGCCACCUCGCUUAUGGGAGAUUAUGGCAGCCAGAACUGAAUAGGACAAAUACUUGUAGAGCACCUAUUACAUGUGAGCACUACGGGCACAAGAAUAAAGAAAAUAGACCCUAACUUUAAAAAAAAAAAAAAAAAAACGAACAGUCAGCCAGGAGGCUGGCCACUAAAAUGCAAGAGUGCAUGCAGCAGGCACUGUGGGAAGACAGAAGAGUAGAUCCCAGGUGUCUGGGCAGGGCUGUGUGGAGGACAGAAGGUUCUCAGAGCUGUCCUGCAGGAUGCCACGCAGCCUGGGAAGAAGCCAGGAGCCUGGGGGAAUUGUUCUCGCAUCCCAAAUCAGUGGUUCCAGCAACUGUCAACACAAUAAAACUACAGAACUUGAAAGGGGAAAAUGGGAAAAUAAGCACAGAAGGACAGAUGUGCACCAGGGUGAGGAGAUCCCAACCUCUUUAUUAGAGAAAAGACCGGCAACCCUGCGGCUGGGGCUGGUCACAGAAAGGGGGCCUUGUGAGAGGGGCUGCGAUGAGGCAGAUGGAUGCCAAACCUCAAAAGGCUUUGCUGCUGUGCUAGCAAAUUUAGUUUCCUCCCACAGCUGGUCAGGAGCCCAGUGAACUCUAAGCAGGAAACUGCACUGAUCAGAAGAUAAUUUCAUAGUAACUACUCCGACAGCACAGAGAAGCGAUGGAGAAGGAAGGGAAGAAGGGAAAGCCACUGAAUGGCCCACUUGAGACCAGAAAAGGUCAAAAGUUUGAGGCAGAUAUAACGCAUUUGGGGAGGACUGGGCAUUCUCCUAACCAGACAGCAAUCCUGCCGAAAAUUAAAAUGAGUAGAGCGUCUGUUCACCAACCAAAUAUUAGAAAAAGGAAACAACAUAAUCUUGAAAUGAACUCUGCAGCCUUUUAAAAUUUAAAAUCCAUGACCCUACAGAAAGUUAUGCAAAUAUUUUUUGUUUCUAAUUUUAGCAGAGAACAACACUGUCAGUCUGGAGUAAGUGACAAAAAUAAGAAAGGGAAGUCUAUCCUGAUGCCCAGCCAGGGAAAAAUGGGAAGAAAGAGAAGAGAAGAGAAGAGACAGAGAGGUUAUCGCAGGAGUGGGACUGGUGACUAAAGAGGAAAUGAGACCUAAGCUAGCCUCCUUGCCAUGUGAUACUCUGCACCACCUUGAGACUCUGCAGAGAGUACCCACCAACAAGGAAGCUCUCACCAGAUGCGCCCCCUUGACCUUGGACUUCUCCACCUCCAGAACAGUACAAAAUAAAUUUCAUUUCUCAUAAAUUA